rnacentral:miRNA from 1 species
UCUGGACAGGACAGGCCCUGAGC